AUUUUUGUCAAAAAGAGGUGGGGAUUUAUUUGCCAUCUUGAAGGAUGAUAUGCAUUCUUCCCAACAAGAACUUGUCAGAGUCAUCAUCAUAUUUUGGCUUUUUUAGAACUUAUCGAACCUCUUACUCAUAGUUAAGCUAGAUGAUUAUAAAUGGAUCACAUGCUUGGCACCAUAUGUUUGUUUAGAGAAGCAAAUUGAGCA
rnacentral:misc_RNA from 1 species